GGACAUGGUGGUGAGCCGUGGCAAGGACCAGAAUGGAUCACAGAUGAUCGUUGGCCAACAGGUGGCAGAAGAGGAAUUCCUGCCUUCCUCAAGAGGAACACCUACCCCUUGGCUAAUGCUGGGAUGCCACCUAUAGAAAAGUCAGAGGGUCCAGAUCCCAUUGAAGAUACCACGCUGCAUGUGUCCUUAGUAGUCAUGUCUCCUUAGGCUCCUCUUGGACAUUCUGAGCAUGUGAGACCUGAGGACUGCAAACAGCUAUAAGAGGCUCCAAAUUCAUCAUAUCUUUCCCUUUGAGAAUCUGGCCAAGCUCCAGCUAAUCUACUUGGAUGGGUUGCCAGCUAUCUGGAGAAAAAGAUCUUCCUCAGAAGAAUAGGCUUGUUGCUUUACAGUGUUAGUGAUCCAUUCCCUUUGACGAUCCCUAGGUGGAGAUGGGGCAUGAGGAUCCUCCAGGGGAAAAGCUCACUACCACUGGGCAACAACCCUAGGUCAGGAGGUUCUGUCAAGAUACUUUCCUGGUCCCAGAUAGGAAGAUAAAGUCUCAAAAACAACCACCACACGUCAAGCUCUUCAUUGUUCCUACCUGCCAAAUCAUUAUACUUCCUACAAGCAGUGCAGAGAGCUGAGUCUUCAGCAGGUCCAAGAAAUUUGAACACACUGAAGGAAGUCAGCCUUCCCACCUGAAGAUCAACAUGCCUGGCACUCUAGCACUUGAGGAUAGCUGAAUGAAUGUGUAUUUCUUUGUCUCUUUCUUUCUUGUCUUUGCUCUUUGUUCUCUAUCUAAAGUGUGUCUUACCCAUUUCCAUGUUUCUCUUGCUAAUUUCUUUCGUGUGUGCCUUUGCCUCAUUUUCUCUUUUUGUUCACAAGAGUGGUCUGUGUCUUGUCUUAGACAUAUCUCUCAUUUUUCAUUUUGUUGCUAUUUCUCUUUGCUCUCCUAGAUGUGGCUCUUCUUUCACGCUUUAUUUCAUGUCUCCUUUUUGGGUCACAUGCUGUGUGCUUUUUGUCCUUUUCUUGUUCUGUCUACCUCUCCUUUCUCUGCCUACCUCUCUUUUCUCUUUGUGAACUGUGAUUAUUUGUUACCCCUUCCCCUUCUCGUUCGUUUUAAAUUUCACCUUUUUUCUGAGUCUGGCCUCCUUUCUGCUGUUUCUACUUUUUAUCUCACAUUUCUCAUUUCUGCAUUUCCUUUCUGCCUCUCUUGGGCUAUUCUCUCUCUCCUCCCCUGCGUGCCUCAGCAUCUCUUGCUGUUUGUGAUUUUCUAUUUCAGUAUUAAUCUCUGUUGGCUUGUAUUUGUUCUCUGCUUCUUCCCUUUCUACUCACCUUUGAGUAUUUCAGCCUCUUCAUGAAUCUAUCUCCCUCUCUUUGAUUUCAUGUAAUCUCUCCUUAAAUAUUUCUUUGCAUAUGUGGGCAAGUGUACGUGUGUGUGUGUCAUGUGUGGCAGAGGGGCUUCCUAACCCCUGCCUGAUAGGUGCAGAACGUCGGCUAUCAGAGCAAGCAUUGUGGAGCGGUUCCUUAUGCCAGGCUGCCAUGUGAGAUGAUCCAAGACCAAAACAAGGCCCUAGGCUGCAGUAAAACCCAAAACUCAAGUAGGGCAGAAGGUGGAAGGCUCAUAUGGAUAGAAGGCCCAAAGUAUAAGACAGAUGGUUUGAGACUUGAGACCCGAGGACUAAGAUGGAAAGCCCAUGUUCCAAGAUAGAUAGAAGCCUCAGGCCUGAAACCAACAAAAGCCUCAAGAGCCAA
rnacentral:lncRNA from 1 species